rnacentral:pre_miRNA from 1 species
GUUGUACUCCCUCCGUUCUGAAUUCCUUGUUUUAGAUUUGUCUAGAUACGGAGGUAUCUAGCACUAAAAUUAGUCUAGAUACAUCCGUAUCUAGACAAAUCCAAGACAAGUAAUUUGGAACGGAAGGAGUAGCAG